CCUACGGGAGGCAGCAGUGGGGAAUAUUGCACAAUGGGGGAAACCCUGAUGCAGCGACGCCGCGUGAGUGAAGAAGUAUUUCGGUAUGUAAAGCUCUAUCAGCAGGGAAGAUAAUGACAGUACCUGACUAAGAAGCCCCGGCUAACUACGUGCCAGCAGCCGCGGUAAUACGUAGGGGGCAAGCGUUAUCCGGGUUUACUGGGUGUAAAGGGAGCGUAGACGGAGUGGCAAGUCUGAAGUGAAAACCCUAGGCUUAACCUGGGGACUGCUUUGGAAACUGUUAAUCUAGAGUGUUGGAGAGGUAAGUGGAAUUCCUGGUGUAGCGGUGAAAGGCGUAGAUAUCAGGAAGAACACCGGAGGCGAAGGCGGCUUACUGGACAAUAACUGACGUUGAGGCUCGAAAGCGUGGGGAUCAAACAGGAUUAGAUACCCCAGUAGUC
rnacentral:rRNA from 1 species